GAAACUGUUGGUAGAUUUAUAUAAUGGUCUACUAUAUAGCAGUGAAUGAAUAUCCUAGUGCUCUGUGAAACAACCUGGAUUAAUUUCAGUGUCUUAAUUUGUACACCCCCAGAACAGAGUGUGAGGUGUGAGACAAGUACUUCAGUUCAAGAGUGUAUUUAGGAGGUAAUCCCAGGAAGCAGAAAUGGGAAUGAGCAAAAAAGGAAGAAAAGUCAAUAAAAGGUGCAGUACGGAGCUACUUACCACUAUGAACCACCGUGCUCACUCCCAUUGGGAACACUCAGAGGAAUCAUGUCGAAUACAGCUCAGAGCUGAAGGCCUUCCUGAUGCGCUUGCCUGCUCCCUGGUCUCUCUGCAUGGGGAAGGAGUGUUCCCAGCUUGCAAACUCCAGCUUUGCCUGUGAGAGGAACAAGCGUCCCUGAUCCAGAAGGUGGUGAGUCCUCCUCUCUCUCUUCAUGCUUUUUAGUCCUUUAACUUUCUCAGGA
rnacentral:lncRNA from 10 species